CUUACCUACCCUUGACAUGUCUAGAAGUUUCCAGAGAUGGAUUCGUGCUCGAAAGAGAACUAGAACACAGGUGCUGCAUGGCCGUCGUCAGCUCGUGUCGUGAGAUGUUGGGUUAAGUCCCGCAACGAGCGCAACCCUUAUCAUUAGUUGCUACGCAAGGGCACUCUAAUGAGACUGCCGGUGACAAACCGGAGGAAGGUGGGGAUGACGUCAGGUCAUCAUGGCCCUUAUGGGUAGGGCUACACACGUCAUACAAUGGCCGGUACAGAGGGCUGCCAACCCGCGAGAGGGAGCUAAUCUCAGAAAACCGGUCGUAGUCCGGAUCGCAGUCUGCAACUCGACUGCAUAAAGUCGGAAUCGCAAGUAAUCGCGGAUCAGCUUGCCGCGGUGAAUACGUUUCGCGGGUCUUGUACACACCGGCCCGUCACACCAUGCGAAGCGGGUUCUGCCAGGAGGUAGUUAGCCUUACCCGCAAGAAGGGCGA
rnacentral:rRNA from 1 species